GGGGAAAAUUAAAAAUUUAAAUUUAAUAAAAAAAAUUUUAAUAUUAAAAAGAAAAAAUGGGGGUUUAAGUAUUUUUAAUAGAAAAAAUUAAUAUUUUUAUAGUUAAAUAUUACUGUAAAGGAAUUUUUAAAUAAAUGAAAUAAAAUUAAUAAAAAAGUAAAUUUAAUUUGUUGUAUCUUGUGUAUCAGAGUUUAUUAAAAAAUAAUAAUUUAUUUAAAUAAAUCUCGAAUUUAAAAGAGUUAAUUAAUUAAAAAAGUUAAUGUUGUAUAAUUAUUUUUAAUAAUUAAUUGGAAAUGAAAUGUUAAUCGUUUUUAAAUAUAUCUAGUUUUUUCAGAAAAAAAUUUAAUUUUAAAUUUAAAUAAUUUUAUAAUUUUUUGAUUAAUUAUAAAAAUUUAAAUUUUAAUAUUUUAGGGGAUAAGCUUUAAAUUAAAAAUUUAUAAUUAAAAAAUAUAAAAAUUAAAAUUUUUAAAAUUUAUAUUAUUUAAAAAUUAUAGUUUAUUAUAAAAAAUUUUGUUUAUAUAUAAAAUUUAAAAUAGAAAAUUUAAAUUUUUAUGAAAAAAUAAUUUAUAAUUUAAUAAAAUUAGAAAUAAUGAUAAAAUUAGUAUAAUAAAAUAAAUUAAAUGAAAUUUAUAAAUAAGUAAUUUAAAGGAAUUCGGCAAAAAUUUAUAUUCACUUGUUUAUCAAAAACAUGUCUUUUUGAUAAUAAUUUAAAGUCUAAUCUGCCCACUGAUAUAAUUAUUAAAGGGCUGCAGUAUAUUGACUGUACAAAGGUAGCAUAAUCAUUAGUCUUUUAAUUGAAGACUUGUAUGAAAGAUUUGAUGAAAUAUAGACUGUCUCUGAAUUAUUAUUAGAAAUUAAUUUUUUAGUUAAAAAGCUAAAAUAAAAUUAAAAGACGAGAAGACCCUAUAGAGUUUUAUAUUUUAUUUAUUUAGUAUUAAAUAUAUAAUUAAAUUAUAUUAACUAAAUAAAAUAUUGUAUUGGGGUGAUAAAAAAAUUUAAUAAACUUUUUUUAAAAAUAUAACAUAAAUAAGUGAUUAAUUGAUCCAUUAAUAAUGAUUAAAAGAAAAAAUUACCUUAGGGAUAACAGCGUAAUAUUUUUUUUUAGUACAAAUAAAAAAUAAAGUUUGCGACCUCGAUGUUGGAUUAAGAUAAAAUUUAAAUGCAAAAGUUUAAAAUUUUGAUCUGUUCGAUCAUUAAAAUCUUACAUGAUCUGAGUUCAAACCGGUGUAAGCCAGGUUGGUUUCUAUCUUUAAUAAAAAAAAAUAUUUUAGUACGAAAGGAUCAAAUAUUUAAAAUAAUUUUAUAAAGGAAAAAUGAAUAUUAUUAAUAU
rnacentral:rRNA from 1 species